rnacentral:rRNA from 1 species
UUGCGCAAUGGGGGGAACCCUGACGCAGCGACGCCGCGUGCGGGACGGAGGCCUUCGGGUCGUAAACCGCUUUCAGCAGGGAAGAGUCAAGACUGUACCUGCAGAAGAAGCCCCGGCUAACUACGUGCCAGCAGCCGCGGUAAUACGUAGGGGGCGAGCGUUAUCCGGAUUCAUUGGGCGUAAAGCGCGCGUAGGCGGCCCGGCAGGCCGGGGGUCGAAGCGGGGGGCUCAACCCCCCGAAGCCCCCGGAACCUCCGCGGCUUGGGUCCGGUAGGGGAGGGUGGAACACCCGGUGUAGCGGUGGAAUGCGCAGAUAUCGGGUGGAACACCGGUGGCGAAGGCGGCCCUCUGGGCCGAGACCGACGCUGAGGCGCGAAAGCUGGGGGAGCGAACAGGAUUAGAUACCCUGGUAGUCCCAGCCGUAAACGCUGUAAAAGGAGGUGUGGGGGGACGAUCCCCCCGUGCCGCAGCCAACGCAUUAAGCGUCCCGCCUGGGGAGUGCGGCCGCAAGGCUAAAACUCAAAGGAAUAGACGGGGGCCCGCACAAGCAGCGGAGCAUGUGGGUUAAUUUGAAGCAACGCGAAGAACCUUACCAGGGCUUGACAUAUGGGUGAAGCGGGGGAGACCCCGUGGCCGAGAGGAGCCCAUACAGGUGGUGCAUGGCUGUCGUCAGCUCGUGUCGUGAGAUGUUGGGUUAAGUCCCGCAACGAGCGCAACCCCUGCCGCGUGUUGCCAUCGGGUGAUGCCGGGAACCCACGCGGGACCGCCGCCGUCAAGGCGGAGGAGGGCGGGGAGGACGUCAAGUCAUCAUGCCCCUUAUGCCCUGGGCUGCACACGUGCUACAAUGGCCGGUACAGAGGGAUGCCACCCCGCGAGGGGGAGCGGAUCCCGGAAAGCCGGCCCCAGUUCGGAUUGGGGGGUGCAACCCGCCCCCACGAAGUCGGAGUUGCUAGUAAUCGCGGAUCAGCAUGCCGCGGUGAAU